GAUGAACGCUGGCGGCGUGCCUAAUACAUGCCAGUCGAGCGAACAGACGAGGAGCUUGCUCCUCUGACGUUAGCGGCGGACGGGUGAGUAACACGUGGAUAACCUACCUAUAAGACUGGGAUAACUUCGGGAAACCGGAGCUAAUACCGGAUAAUAUAUUGAACCGCAUGGUUCAAUAGUGAAAGACGGUUUUGCUGUCACUUAUAGAUGGAUCCGCGCCGCAUUAGCUAGUUGGUAAGGUAACGGCUUACCAAGGCGACGAUGCGUAGCCGACCUGAGAGGGUGAUCGGCCACACUGGAACUGAGACACGGUCCAGACUCCUACGGGAGGCAGCAGUAGGGAAUCUUCCGCAAUGGGCGAAAGCCUGACGGAGCAACGCCGCAUGAGUGAUGAAGGUCUUCGGAUCGUAAAACUCUGUUAUUAGGGAAGAACAAAUGUGUAAGUAACUAUGCACGUCUUGACGGUACCUAAUCAGAAAGCCACGGCUAACUACGUG
rnacentral:rRNA from 1 species